rnacentral:rRNA from 1 species
ACGCUGGCGGCAGGCCUAACACAUGCAAGUCGAGCGGUAGAGAGAAGCUUGCUUCUCUUGAGAGCGGCGGACGGGUGAGUAAUGCCUAGGAAUCUGCCUGGUAGUGGGGGAUAACGCUCGGAAACGGACGCUAAUACCGCAUACGUCCUACGGGAGAAAGCAGGGGACCUUCGGGCCUUGCGCUAUCAGAUGAGCCUAGGUCGGAUUAGCUAGUUGGUGAGGUAAUGGCUCACCAAGGCGACGAUCCGUAACUGGUCUGAGAGGAUGAUCAGUCACACUGGAACUGAGACACGGUCCAGACUCCUACGGGAGGCAGCAGUGGGGAAUAUUGGACAAUGGGCGAAAGCCUGAUCCAGCCAUGCCGCGUGUGUGAAGAAGGUCUUCGGAUUGUAAAGCACUUUAAGUUGGGAGGAAGGGCAGUAAAUUAAUACUUUGCUGUUUUGACGUUACCGACAGAAUAAGCACCGGCUAACUCUGUGCCAGCAGCCGCGGUAAUACAGAGGGUGCAAGCGUUAAUCGGAAUUACUGGGCGUAAAGCGCGCGUAGGUGGUUCGUUAAGUUGGAUGUGAAAUCCCCGGGCUCAACCUGGGAACUGCAUUCAAAACUGUCGAGCUAGAGUAUGGUAGAGGGUGGUGGAAUUUCCUGUGUAGCGGUGAAAUGCGUAGAUAUAGGAAGGAACACCAGUGGCGAAGGCGACCACCUGGACUGAUACUGACACUGAGGUGCGAAAGCGUGGGGAGCAAAC